AAAGUGCUUCUCUUUGCUGGG
rnacentral:miRNA from 1 species